AGUGAACGCUGGCGGUAGGCCUAACACAUGCAAGUCGAACGGCAGCACAGUAAGAGCUUGCUCUUACGGGUGGCGAGUGGCGGACGGGUGAGGAAUACAUCGGAAUCUACUUUUUCGUGGGGGAUAACGUAGGGAAACUUACGCUAAUACCGCAUACGACCUACGGGUGAAAGCAGGGGAUCUUCGGACCUUGCGCGAUUGAAUGAGCCGAUGUCGGAUUAGCUAGUCGGCGGGGUAAAGGCCCACCAAGGCGACGAUCCGUAGCUGGUCUGAGAGGAUGAUCAGCCACACUGGAACUGAGACACGGUCCAGACUCCUACGGGAGGCAGCAGUGGGGAAUAUUGGACAAUGGGCGCAAGCCUGAUCCAGCCAUACCGCGUGGGUGAAGAAGGCCUUCGGGUUGUAAAGCCCUUUUGUUGGGAAAGAAAAGCAGCAGGUUAAGACCCCGCUGUUCUGACGGUACCCAAAGAAUAAGCACCGGCGAACUUCGU
rnacentral:rRNA from 1 species